rnacentral:rRNA from 4 species
UGUCGUCAGCUCGUGUUGUGAAAUGUUGGGUUAAGUCCCGCAACGAGCGCAACCCUUAUCCUUUGUUGCCAGCGGUCCGGCCGGGAACUCAAAGGAGACUGCCAGUGAUAAACUGGAGGAAGGUGGGGAUGACGUCAAGUCAUCAUGGCCCUUACGACCAGGGCUACACACGUGCUACAAUGGCGCAUACAAAGAGAAGCGACCUCGCGAGAGCAAGCGGACCUCAUAAAGUGCGUCGUAGUCCGGAUUGGAGUCUGCAACUCGACUCCAUGAAGUCGGAAUCGCUAGUAAUCGUGGAUCAGAAUGCCACGGUGAAUACGUUCCCGGGCCUUGUACACACCGCCCGUCACACCAUGGGAGUGGGUUGCAAA